CCAGCAGCCGCGGUAAUUCCAGCUCCAAUAGCGUAUAUUAAAGUUGUUGCAGUUAAAAAGCUCGUAGUUGAAUUUCGGGGUCAGUAGUUUGGUCGUGCCAAUGGUAUGUACUGGGCUCACUGAUUCCUCCUUCCUGAUGAACUGUAAUGCCAUUAAUUUGGUGUUGCAGGGAAACUGGACUGUUACUUUGAAAAAAUUAGAGUGUUUAAAGCAAGCUAACGCUUGAAUACAUUAGCAUGGAAUAAUGAAAUAGGACGUUCGAUCCUAUUUUGUUAGGUUUCUAGGAUUGACGUAAUGAUUAAUAGGGAUAGUUGGGGGCAUUAGUAUUCAAUUGUCAGAGGUGAAAUUCUUGGAUUUAUUGAAGACUAAACUACUGCGAAAGCAUUUGCCAAGGAUGUUUUCAUUAAUCAAGAACGAAAGUUAGGGGGAUCGAAGACGAUCAGAUACCGUCGUAGUCUUAACCAUAAACUAUGCCGACUAGGGAUCGGAUGAUGUUAAUUUUAUAAUGACUCAUUCGGCGCCUUACG
rnacentral:rRNA from 1 species